rnacentral:rRNA from 1 species
CCUACGGGUGUCAGCAGUGGGGAAUAUUGCACAAUGGGCGAAAGCCUGAUGCAGCAACGCCGCGUGAGCGAUGAAGGCCUUCGGGUCGUAACGCUCUGUCCUCAAGGAAGAUAAUGACGGUACUUGAGGAGGAAGCCCCGGCUAACUACGAGCCAGCAGACGCGGUAAUACGUAGGGGGCUAGCGUUAUCCGGAAUUACUGGGCGUAAGGGGUGCGUAGGUGGUUUCUUAAGGCAGAGGUGAAAGGCUACGGCUAACCAGUAGUAAGCCUUUGAAACUGGGGAACUUGAGUGCAGGAGAGGAGGGUGGAAUUCCUAGUGUAGCGGUGAAAUGCGUAGAUAUUAGGAGGAACCCCAGUUGCGAAGGCGGCUCUCUGGACUGUAACUGACACUGAGGCACGAAGGCGUGGGGAGCAAACAGGAUUAGAUACCCUAGUAGUC